AUAGAAGAUUCAGCCAUCAAAAUUUCAUUAAAACUUAUGUUCAAUAUAUAAUAAGUUGCAGUUUUACAUGAUCUUCAAUGUGAGAAUUUGUGAUAAGGUAAAAUAUAUUUCAAAAUGUAAGCUAAGAUUAAUAAGAUAUCAACGCAAAACUCGCAUGCAAAAAACAAAUCUGCAAAGAAAAAAAUGUUAGAAUAUACCAAGUAGGUGGGUGAGCAAACUUGACAAAAUACUUAUACAAGAUAUGAACCAGUGUAUCUCAACCUCCGCACACGCCCAGGUUGUUGGUGGCUUCACUCGGAUGUUGACCGUAAAGAUCACAUCCAUGCACUUGAUAUGUGGAUAUGAACGUCAAAUUUCGCACAUACAUAUAGACAAUUACACACACUAGUAUACAUAUACACUUACACUCCAAUACCAAAAUAUAAUUGCACUGAAAUAGGGUGCUUAACGGGUUGCGUUUGCGGGUUGGCGUGUUCAACCCGACCUGACCCCAAAAAUUUUAGACGAACCCAAACACAAAAUUCUUGUCAUAUAUAUAAACCUGAACACAGCCUGAAUAUUCACAGGCCGGCCCGAACACAACAUGUGACCUGAAUUUUUUUUUUGUCCCGCAAUUAAUAUAUUAAAAUAUAUAUUACUAUAAAAACCAAUUUAAAUUAUAAAAUCUUAGGUCAAUGUCUCUUUUUAAGUUAUAAUUAUGGCAUAAAAUACGUAUCCAAUUUAAUUUAUGACAUAAAACAUAUUGUAAAAAAUAUAAUAUAAAUAGGUUAAACGGGUCAACCCACCAACCGACCGGGAUAACCCGACCCGAUUAGCUAACAGGUUUUAGUCUUCAACCUGAAACCGGCCCGAACCCAUUUAGACUAAACCCAAACCCACGAAUUUCGUGUUAGGUUCAUGUCAGGUUUUCAUGCUGUGUCAGAAAUUCGCCCCUAAAAAUCCUAUCACUAUUUGUAUGUGUAAUAUAUCAUAUUCAUAAAGUAAGCUAAGACAAGAAACUAUGCAACACCAAAGUACUAGUAACUAGGAUGAAGAAUCCUACAUCAGUUACCUGCCUGGAGAUGAUCAUAUAGACUUCAAAAAUCAUAUAAAUCGACGACUAUACGAGGUCGAAUACUAAAAGACGGAACCUAGUACCAACAAUUAUCCUUGAACAUAAAUCCUUAAACAAAAAGUACACAAUAACACAAGGUUCUAGUCUUACUAAAAACAUGCACUAUCUAACUAAAUGCAAAUCAAACUCUGAUCUUCUUUCUAGUGUCUUGUUGUGCUGUAAGGGCUCUUAAUGUCUAUUUGAUU